GCCUGCGUGGCAUAGUGGUUUGAGUGUUGGACUACAACUCUGGAAACCAGGGUCCGAUUCCUAGCUCAGUCA